rnacentral:lncRNA from 1 species
AAGCCAGGCUUUGCUCAGCUGCAUCCUGCCCAGCCUCAGGCGCUCAGUGACCUCAGUAGGAUCGGCUGCUCCUGUCUUCGAGCCAUCUCUUGGCGAAGGACUUUCCAGGUUCCUCGGCAGGCAGUUGACGAUGUAGCACCAGGGGACUCCUGUCCCUUGGUCACGUCCCUUUUUUCAACGUGACCUCAGUCUGGUCCUCUCCAGGCUGUCUUUACUGAGGACAGGCCAUGCAGAUCCCUGGUCAAUCUUGCUCUGCACCCAGGUUGUCAGCAUCCUCAGGGUCCACAUCUUUCUCCCCUGUACAGAGGGGCUGGAACCCUGCUGUGGCUGGAUAUGGGAACAGCCACCCGCUGUGGUGGGAACAGAUGUCAUAGGGCUGGCCUUCAGGAGCUGUGGUCGAGCUCUCAUUUCUCACCACACUUUCACACUAUUAGUUGUUUAGAGGUACUUUACGGCUGCAGAGCGUCUGUGACGGCUAAAAUUGUCUGUUUUACUGGUUACAAAGGGCCUGUUCCAGAGUCUGAAUUUAAUGGAAUCUCCACGCUCUCUCGGCAGCCCCACAGCCUCUCCAACGCAGCGUCACAACGUUUCUGGACGUGGAUUGCUUUGUAAAUGUCUUUAAUUUCACUUUUCACUUUCAAAAUACCAAAACUUGAAAUGUAUAUGAUAGGUUGCUUGUUCAACAUGUAAUACAGAAUUAUGAUCGGUA